rnacentral:rRNA from 1 species
AUUGAACGCUGGCGGCAUGCCUUACACAUGCAAGUCGAACGGCAGCACGGGUGCUUGCACCUGGUGGCGAGUGGCGAACGGGUGAGUAAUAUAUCGGAACGUACCUUAUUGUGGGGGAUAACGCAGCGAAAGCUGUGCUAAUACCGCAUAAUCCCUAAGGGGGAAAGCGGGGGACCGUAAGGCCUCGCGCAAUUAGAGCGGCCGAUACCUGAUUAGCUAGUUGGUGAGGUAAAGGCUCACCAAGGCAACGAUCAGUAGCAGGUCUGAGAGGACGAUCAGCCACACUGGGACUGAGACACGGCCCAGACUCCUACGGGAGGCAGCAGUGGGGAAUUUUGGACAAUGGGGGCAACCCCGAUCCAGCAAUGCCGCGUGAGUGAAGAAGGCCUUCGGGCUGUAAAGCUCUUUUGUCAGGGAAGAAACAGCAGCUCUAACACAGUUUGCGAAUGACGGUACCUGAAGAAUAAGCACCGGCUAACUACGUGCCAGCCGCCGCCGUAA